rnacentral:rRNA from 1 species
CUAACACAUGCAAGUCGAGCGGUAACAGGUGUAGCAAUACAUGCUGACGAGCGGCGAACGGGUGAGUAAUGCUUUGGAAUCUUCCCAGUAGUGGGGAAUAACCAGUCGAAAGAUUGGCUAAUACCGCAUACGUCUGUAAAGGGAAAGCGGGGGCUCGUAAGACCUCGCGCUAUUGGAUGAGCCAAAGUCGGAUUAGCUAGUUGGUGGGGUAAUGGCCUACCAAGGCGACAAUCCGUAGCUGGUCUGAGAGGACGACCAGCCACACCGGAACUGAGACACGGUCCGGACUCCUACGGGAGGCAGCAGUGGGGAAUAUUGGACAAUGGGGGAAACCCUGAUCCAGCGACGCCGCGUGUGUGAAGAAGGCCUGCGGGUUGUAAAGCACUUUUAGUGGGGACAAAAAGCUACGGACUAAUACUCUGUGGUCUUGAUUUAACCCAAAGAAAAAGCACCGGCUAACUCUGUGCCAGCAGCCGCGGUAAU